UACAGAGGUCCCAAGCGUUGUUCGGAUUCACUGGGCGUAAAGGGUGCGUAGGUGGUCGGGUAAGUCUGGUGUGAAAUCUCCGAGCUCAACUCGGAAAUGGCAUUGGAUACUAUUCGGCUAGAGGAUUGGAGGGGGGACUGGAAUACUUGGUGUAGCAGUGAAAUGCGUAGAUAUCAAGUGGAACACCAGUGGCGAAGGCGGCUC
rnacentral:rRNA from 1 species